CCCUGCGGGGAUAGGGCAAAAAUGAACCUCGAAGGGAGCCUGGGGGGCCGCCUGGACUGCCCACCAGUGAGGGCCGAGACUUUCCUCUGAGAAGGAGUUUGCGACGCUAUGCUUGGAAGGCCCUGUUCCCACAGUGAGGAACCAAGGAAGCGAUGUUACAACAAAGACUGGGAGGAAAGCCAGGCAAAACCAAGCAGAAAAUCAAGGGAAAGGACUUUAACGCCAGGACAACUGCCUUGGGUCCCUUGGUCAGAAUUAGUUUUGACCUGAGAAUGCUUCACAGAAAGGAGGACAUCUGACCUGCGGGGUAUCAUGGGGAUGAAGGAGGACACCCCGCCCCACAUGGAAGGAGCAACAGACACGGAGCACAGCAGAGGCAUGAACGGUGGCAUGCCAAGAAAGCUCUAGAAGUUUUGCUCAACAGUGACCACUAAUUCUCAUAAUACACAAAGUGUAGUUUUUCUGAACAGUAACUCAAGCAGCAAGCUCAUAACAUCAAUCAUACGUGAUCAUGACUUUGCACUGGAGAUAACUGUCCUUGAACAAAGAACAAUGAAAAACCCCUGAAGCAAAUUUCUCUUUUAAACUAAAAAGAUGCUAAUUUAUGUAACCCCCACAAUAAGCUGACAUUAACUGCUUAAAUGAAUGAGAUUUUACUUCAAUUUUUAAACAGCACUCAAAGCAAUUACCUUUCUCACUGCUUUCAAUUUAC